AGAGGUAGGUCCCAUUCUCAAGUUAUCGCUUGUGUCCAUUGGUUGGGCAAUCCAUGAUGGGGCCCACAUGGCAUCGUAGGAAACUACCCAUUUGAUUGGCUCUAUAGUGGAUGGGAACUUUAUAAGUAUCACAUUCGUCAAACAAUUCUAACCAUAGUUUAAAAACAUGAAACUUUAGUUGACCCAAAACCUAGUUGAGUCCAGUCAACACAAACUCAGACAAGCUCAUCAAAAAUUUGCACGAGUCAUUUCUGCCUGAUAUUUAAUGCUAAAAUAUAAAUAAUAUAUAAAUUAUGUCAAGUUAUGCAAAGCUAUCCAGUUUUUUCAAGUUUUUAUUGAAUUUUAUGAAGUUUUUCCGUAUCCAAUCAAGUUUAAUCCAAGUCAUAACCAAAUUGAGUUUUCUUUUGGUCUUGGUAAAAUCUGGUGGAGGCAAGUUCAAUUUUAUUUUUAUUUUCCAGUUUUCAAACUAUGAUCGAUCUAUUCAAUUCACUGCUUUCCAAUGGACGACAGAGCAAAACUAUCCAAAUGUUCAUGAUCAACCAGACCAAAUCAGAUAGGCUUCCUUUAUGAUUCUGUGCUAGAGGAUUUCGUGACAGGGUUCCUCAUGCACCGUGGAGGGUGGAUAUCUGUCUAUGUUGAUCCUCCAAGGCCCUCAUUCUUCGGCACAACUCUUAUCAAUUUGAAUGACAUCUUGGCAAUAUUUUAAAUAUCGUUAUCGCAUAAUGUAUCGCAACCUUGGGAUACGGAUAAAUAUCGGUUAUCGCGUGGGAUA